UGCGCGCCUUGCAGCCACAGUUUGGGGAUAAACCCAAGCGGAAGCGGCCACAGCCAGCUCAGAGCAGCAGCCAUGGCGCCUCCCGUCUCCUCCCUGCCCCGCAUGGCGUCCAGCCCAAUCCCGCCGCCGCAGCUCCCCAAGCCCAGCAGAAGGGCGCUCGCCGUCGCGCCCUGCAGCUCCGCCUCCUCCUCGCCGCCCACCACCUCCUCCCCUCCGUGCCACGCCGCCGCGCCUCCGGCGGGUCGGAGGGGGAUGCUGGCGCUGGGCGCGGGGUUCCUGGCCUCGGCCGCGCUGCUGGCCCCGGCCGGGGACGCCGGGGCGACGCGCAUCGAAUACUACGCGACUGUCGGGGACAAGCUCUGCGACAUGAGCCUCGUCAAGUCGGGGCUCGCGUACUGCGACGUCGAGGUUGGCACCGGCGCCCAGCCCCCGCGCGGCGAGCUCAUCAAUGUUCACUACACUGCAAGAUUUCCUGAUGGUACAGUGUUCGACAGCACCUACAAGCGCGGCAGGCCACUGACAAUGCGUAUCGGCGCUGGGAAGAUCCUCCGUGGGCUUGAACAGGGAAUCAGUGGAGGUGGAGGAGUGCCGCCCAUGCUUGUUGGUGGAAAGCGCAAGCUUAUGAUACCUGCAACUCUGGCGUACGGGCCUGAACCAGCAGGCUGCUUCUCAGGUCAAUUUUUGCACCCUAACCUGAAAAGUAAAAAAAAAAAGGCUUCUGUGGCAUUUGACUGCACCACAAAGAAGCACUUUCAGAAUUGCUCCAACUUACUAGCACUGUCAGCAAACUGCACAUGCGUUCAGAACUUCAGACCAUCUGCUUAUUUUAACAGGAGAUUGCAACAUUCCUGGAAACUCCACACUUCUAUAUGACCUUUUCCUAGUCGGGAUUUACAAGUGAGCAUCCAAUGAGAUGACAAGGAACAUUCAGGAAUUAGAACAGACAAGGCAGAAGUCUAUCAUGCAGAUAAAGAGAACGGUUCCUGGAACACAUGGUCCCAAUACCGCGGAUGAAGAGAACGCUUCUGGCAAUACUCGCGAAAGCUUGUGAAUAACAUUUAUAUUUUCUUACCUAGCCGAUCGGCAAUGUUCCUGACCUAUUUCCGAAGAAAAUAAAGCCCACCUGGAUUGCAUCAUCAUGGAGCUAGCUUUGUAAAGAUCAUUCAAUCAUAUUGUUGUCAUAGCAGUUUAGCACAGUCAAAGCGACCAA